UGCUUUGCUUUUGCAGGGUUUAUCUAGGGUUUUGCCGCUUCCAGUAAAAUCCCCAAAUCCUUUGCAGCUGAAUUCCAAUUCCAAAAAUCUAGCCUUCACUAAUGGAGGGAUUGAGUAAAUCAGAUGCUAAUUUGAUAGUUUACGUGCAUCCAUCGCAGAGCAAGAAUGUUGAUAAAGCAAUCCUCCGUGAACUCAGCUCUUUGCUCUUCAAGUAUUCUCAAGCAUUUGAUGGAGUUGUCUUGGCUUAUAGUGUUGACCCUCAAGAUAAAUGUGCGAGAAUUCUCUCUGGGGUUCACCCUUAUUUCGGUGUCAGACUUCGAGCAAACCUGCUAAUCUUCUCUCCGAAGCCGAACAUGCUUUUAGAGGGAAAGGUGGUGAAAAUUACUCGGGAAUCUAUUCAUUGCAUUGUUCUUGGUUUUUCAUCUGCAAUUAUAACAGAUGAAAAUAUCCGCAACGAGUUAAAGUAUAAAGCUAAACAUGGGGAGGGGGUAUAUGUUAGCAGAUAUCACAAGCGGCAUGUGAUAAAGGUUGGAGCUGUGAUACGUUUUGAAGUCAAGAGGUGACAUAUUAUUGUUUUUAUUGUUAUAUUUUAGAAUAGCUUGAUCUCUGUGAAACACAUGGUCCUUUUCCUUCCUGGUAUAAUCUGCUCAUCCCAAUCACUUGCAUGUACAAGUAUGACACACAUAAACACGGACUUUAAACUGAUUUCAUUAAGGUUUCUAAAUUCAUUUUGGAUGGUCUUGCUCCUAAAAAGAUACAUAACCCUUUAAUUAACUUUCAUUUUAACAUUAAUAUCUAAAUAGAAAAGAUAUCAAUAUGGAAGAGAGAUCAACCAAUCAACUUUCAGUAACAUAGUUGUCCAUGGGCAUCUGUAGUGCAUCUGCUUAAUCAUUGGAAUGUUUAUUGUGGAGAGUUUGACACCCAAUUGUUCAGAUUUUAUUUGCUUGGAAGAUUGUGUGUGGAUAGGAAGAUAGAUAGGACUAAUGGUUGCUCAGUCAGGCCCUACUUUAGUGCUAGCAAUUUUUUUUUUUUUUAAAAAAAAAAACAGAGAGAAGAAGAGAACAACUAUAAUGUGCAAAGCAUUCUUUAUCAACAAUCAAAUACUUCUGUUUCAGGCAUUAACAUAUAUGUGAUUUUUGCUAACUCUAGUUACUUGGUCAUAUUUUAUCUUUGCAAGAAUUGCAAGAGGUUCACGAUGGUGAACAGGAUACCAUGUAACUUUUCCUUUUGGUUUUAAUUUGAAAAGCUUUAUGACAAGACAUGCAUGGUUUACUUCUGUCCUUAGUCUAAUAGACAGACUGAAAAUUGUGGAGGAAACAUUUGACACUUUGGUGCUGGUGGAUAUUUUAAAUCCCAUCAAGCUUGGAUUUUUUUUGUCUUAUAAUUUUGAAAAUUUGGUUUCACUCUUCAAUGCCUUUAGUUAUACUGGCUUUAUGAUACAAGUAAUUCUUCCUCUGACUACGAUAAAUUGUUUGGAGUCUCAGCAUAUCCAAUCGAAUCAUGCUUCUCUUUCCUGCAGGGGGGGCAUGCCAAACUCACUGCUGCAUGCUCCCCUGUCAUGAAAUUGGAUUAAUUGAGUAAUUUUACUGAGAUGUAUACAGCAUAAAAUAGAAUUUAGUUUAUUCGGAUACUAUCCAUUGUACAUGACUCGGUAAAGAUCCUGUAAGUGUUUGGAUUUGGUUAAUUUUUGCAGUUUGGAUGAGGAAAUGCUGCACAUUUCAGGAUCCUUGAUUCCAGCUAAAUACUGGAAGUGUCCAUUGGUUAUGCUCCCCUGUCAUGAAAUUGGAUUAAUUGAGUAAUUUUACUGAGAUCUACACAGCAUAAAGUAGAUUUUAGUUUAUUCGUAUACUAUCCAUUGUACAUGACUCGAUAAAGAUCCUGUAAGCAUUUGGAUUUGGUUAAUUUUUGCAGUUUGGAUGAGGAAAUACUGCACAUUUCAGGAUCCUUGAUUCCAGCUAAUACUGGAAGUGUCCAUUGGUUAUGCUCCCCUGUCAUGAAAUUGGGUUAAUUGAGUAAUUUUACUGAGACCUACACAGCAUAAAGUAGAUUUUAGUUUAUUCGUAUACUAUCCAGUGUACAUGACUCCAUAAAGAUCUUGUAAGUGUUUGGAUUUGUUUAAUUUUUGCAGUUUGGAUGAGGAAAUACUGCACAUUUCAGGAUCCUUGAUUCCAGCUAAUACUGGAAGUGUCCAUUGGUUAGACAAAUAUUUUGUUGAUGCUGCAACUGACAGUAAUAAGGAGACAAAGACUAAGGAAGAAAUGGAAA